UUCAGGACACUCUGAAAGGACUUAGAAUGAGGAGACUCGUACUUGCGUCUGUUCUCUGAGAGUCCUCAGUGAUGGGGCUUGAACUCAAGAUUAGAAAGAGGAUUGUUCACCAAACUGCCAAUUUCUAUUAUGGAGAGCCUCCUUUUAGGCGCCGUAAGUAUAUAAUAAAUUCAUCGUGGAACUUUCAAA